rnacentral:rRNA from 1 species
GACGAACGCUGGCGGCGUGCUUAACACAUGCAAGUCGAACGGAAAGGCCCUGCUUUUGUGGGGUGCUCGAGUGGCGAACGGGUGAGUAACACGUGAGUAACCUGCCCUUGACUUUGGGAUAACUUCAGGAAACUGGGGCUAAUACCGGAUAGGAGCUCCUGCUGCAUGGUGGGGGUUGGAAAGUUUCGGCGGUUGGGGAUGGACUCGCGGCUUAUCAGCUUGUUGGUGGGGUAGUGGCUUACCAAGGCUUUGACGGGUAGCCGGCAUGAGAGGGUGACCGGCCACAUUGGGACUGAGAUACGGCCCAGACUCCUACGGGAGGCAGCAGUGGGGAGUAUUGCACAAGGGGCGGAAGCCUGAUGCAGAGGCGCCGCGUGCGGGAUGACGGCCUUCGGGUUGUAAACCGCUUUCGCCUGAGACGAAGCGUGAGUGACGGUAAUGGGUAAAGAAGCACCGGCUAACUACGUG